rnacentral:misc_RNA from 1 species
GAUGAAGAACGCAGCGAAAUGCGAUAAGUAGUGUGAAUUGCAGAAUUCAGUGAAUCAUCGAAUCUUUGAACGCACAUUGCGCCUCCUGGUAUUCCGGGAGGCAUGCCUGUUCGAGCGUCAUUAAAAUCACUCAAGCUUAGGUUUACCUAUUGCUUGGUCUUGGAGGUGGAAGCCAAUUUAUUGGAAUCCUCUUCGAAAUUCAAUGGCGAAGACCCUUGCUCUCCCAAGUGUAGUAAUAACUUAUGUCACUGAAGGAAGCGAGAAAUCUUCUGCCGUAACCCCCAUAUUUUCUAUGAUUGACCUCGGAUCAGGUAGGGAUACCCGCUGAACUUAAGCAUAUCAAUAAGCGGAGGA